rnacentral:tRNA from 1 species
GCCGGCGUAGCUCAGCCUGGUAGAGCAUCUGUCUCGUAAGCAGAGGGUCACGCGUCCAAAUCGCGUCGCCGGCU